CUCCUACAAGGCCUUGAUGGUUUUUCCUGGGGUCACUCCGGGAGAAUGAAAAGGGAAUACGGUGUGGAGUAGCCAAAAGGCGCCAAAUCCGUGACUGCCCCCGCAACUGUGAGCGGAGAGCAUUGCUGCAAUAGGCCACUGCCCCUUGGGGUGGGAAGGCGCAGCAGGGCCUCGACCCGCGAGUCAGGAGACCUGCCAUCCAGGAGUUCACCCA
rnacentral:ncRNA from 2 species